AGCCUCCUGGUGCUUACUACAGUCUGUGUUCUUAACACUGAUUGUAUAGAUAAAGAGGAGAGAAAGUAAAUAUACCCCAUGUACACUUAAACUCAGGCCCUGUGCCUGGUCUGUAUUAUGAAUGGGAUGACAUGG
rnacentral:snoRNA from 1 species